UGGGGAAUUUUGGACAAUGGGCGAAAGCCUGAUCCAGCAAUGCCGCGUGUGUGAAGAAGGCCUUCGGGUUGUAAAGCACUUUUGUCCGGAAAGAAAUCCUUGGCUCUAAUACAGUCGGGGGAUGACGGUACCGGAAGAAUAAGCACCGGCUAACUACGUGCCAGCAGCCGCGGUAAUACGUAGGGUGCAAGCGUUAAUCGGAAUUACUGGGCGUAAAGCGUGCGCAGGCGGUUUGCUAAGACCGAUGUGAAAUCCCCGGGCUCAACCUGGGAACUGCAUUGGUGACUGGCAGGCUAGAGUAUGGCAGAGGGGGGUAGAAUUCCACGUGUAGCAGUGAAAUGCGUAGAGAUGUGGAGGAAUACCGAUGGCGAAGGCAGCCCCCUGGGCCAAUACUGACGCUCAUGCACGAAAGCGUGGGGAGCAAACAGGAUUAGAUACCCUGGUAGUCCACGCCCUAAACGAUGUCAACUAGUUGUUGGGGAUUCAUUUCCUUAGUAACGUAGCUAACGCGUGAAGUUGACCGCCUGGGGGAGUACGGUCGCAAGAUUAAAACUCAAAGGAAUUGAAGGGGUCAUAGCUGUUUCCU
rnacentral:rRNA from 1 species